UACGUAGGGUGCAAGCGUUGUCCGGAAUUAUUGGGCGUAAAGAGCGUGUAGGCGGCCCGACCAGUCCGCUGUGAAAGUCCAAGGGCUCAACCCUGGAAUGCCGGUGGAUACUGUCGGGCUAGAGUCCGGAAUGGGCGAGUGGAAUUCCGUGGUGUAGCGGUGAAAUGCGUAGAGAUCGGAAAGAACACCAACGGCGAAAGCACUCUGCUGGGCCGACACUGACACUGAGAGACGAAAGCUAGGGGAGCGAAUGGG
rnacentral:rRNA from 1 species